CACAUUAGAUAGAAAAAGUUCGGAACCCUCCCAUCACACAUGACUGUAAAAGUUCCGGUUAUUAACUAGUUAUGUAUUAAAUUUAACCCCUUCUUUAUAAGAAUGGCUGCUGGAAAGAAGACCUUUAGUACUGUAUGCCAUUGUGCAUCGGAGCAAGCCACAUGAAGGUUGCAAUAAAGAUGAUGGUAUACCUCUCAGUCUCACAUGUCUUCACUCUUUCUCGCGUUAGCGCAAGCAUAACUGCAUUGUCUGUUGAGGUCCCAUCAAAUGCACUUGCUGAAAUAUCUGGCAAAUAUUGUGGGAACGGAAACACAUGCUAACAAACGUUGUGGAGAAUGGAAAGACAAAUACUUACCAAUUAAUGAUAAAAGAAAUGCCUAAUUUGAAGAAUGAAUUACACUUAUUUUCAUAAUCAAGAAGCAGUGAGACCUUGUUUUAUGUACAUUCAAUUAUUCUAUUUUGUAUUUAUUAGGAUGUGUCAAGAUGAACUCAAACAAUGGAA